rnacentral:rRNA from 1 species
UAUGGCGACCGGCGCACGGGUGAGUAACACGUAUCCAACCUGCCGAUGACUCGGGGAUAGCCUUUCGAAAGAAAGAUUAAUACCCGAUGGCAUAGCUCUUCCGCAUGGUGGAACUAUUAAAGAAUUUCGGUCAUCGAUGGGGAUGCGUUCCAUUAGGUUGUUGGCGGGGUAACGGCCCACCAAGCCUUCGAUGGAUAGGGGUUCUGAGAGGAAGGUCCCCCACAUUGGAACUGAGACACGGUCCAAACUCCUACGGGAGGCAGCAUG